ACAAGCAAAAUAAGAGCAUCGGGUGGAUGCCUUGGCGUCGGAAGGCGAUGAAAGACGCGGUAAGCUGCGAUAAGCCUCGGGGAGGAGCUAAACAUCCCUUGAUCCGAGGAUUUCUGAAUGGGGAAACCCGGCGGGAGUCAUGUCCCGUCACUGGUAGACGAAUACAUAGUCUGCCAAGUGCCAACUCAGGGAAGUGAAACAUCUCAGUACCUGAAGGAAAGGAAAUCAAACGAGACUCCCUCAGUAGCGGCGAGCGAAGGGGGAAUAGCCCAAACCGUGUGGAUCCGUCCAUGCGGGGUUGUAGGGCCGGCAUACGUGAUUCUGGAGUAGGCAGGGGAAGGAAGCUGGAAAGCUUCGCCAGAGCGGGUGAUAGCCCCGUACCCGAAACUGAAAAGGACACAGCCGGUACCUGAGUACCGCGAGGCACGUGAAACCUCGUGGGAAUCUGGGAGGACCAUCUUCCAAGGCUAAGUACUAACCGACGACCGAUAGUGCACCAGUACCGUGAGGGAAAGGUGAAAAGAACCCCUGUCAGGGGAGUGAAAUAGAAUCUGAAACCUGAUGCUUACAAGCUGUGGGAGCACCCUUGUGGUGUGACCGCGUGCCUUUUGCAUAAUGAGUCAGCGAGUUAAUCUGUACUGCAAGGUUAAGCGUAAGUGGAGCCGUAGCGAAAGCGAGUCUGAUAAGGGCGUUUAGUAGUGCGGAUUAGACCCGAAACCGGGUGAUCUAUCCAUGAGCAGGUUGAAGCAAGGGUAAAACCUUGUGGAGGACCGAACCAUUAACGGCUGAAAACGUUUUGGAUGACUUGUGGAUAGGGGUGAAAGGCCAAUCAAACCCGGUGAUAGCUGGUUCUCCCCGAAAUAUAUUGAGGUAUAGCCUCAUGGAUUGUCUACCGGAGGUAAAGCACUGACAGAGCUAGGGGUCCUACCAGAUUACCAAACUCUUUCAAACUCAGAAUGCCGGUCAGAUGUACCAUGGGAGUCAGACAGUGGGUGCUAAGGUCCAUUGUCGAGAGGGUAAGAGCCCAGAUCAACAGCUAAGGUCUCCAAAUCUAUGCUCAGUGGUUAAGGUGGUGACGUUGUAGAGACACCCAGGACGUUGGCUUAGAAGCAGCCAUCGUUUAAAGAAAGCGUAAUAGCUCACUGGUCUAAUGACGUUGCGCCGAAAAUGUAACGGGGCUAAGCAUAGUACCGAAGCUUUGAAUUCCACGUAUGUGGUCUGGUAGGGGAGCGUUCUUCACGGGCAGAAGGUGUGCUGUAAAGCAUGCUGGACUGUGGAGAAGUGAUUAUGCUGACAUGAGUAACGAUAAAACGGGUGAAAAACCCGUUCGCCGUAAACCCAAGGUUUCCUGGGUAAAGGUAAUCUUCCCAGGGUUAGUCGGUCCCUAAGGUGAGGCUGAAAGGCGUAGCUGAUGGGAAACGAGUUAAUAUUCUCGUACUUGUACAUCUGUGCGAUGGAGGGACGCAGAAAGGUAGACAGGCCGGGUGUUGGUUGUCCCGGUGCAAGCAGGUAGACGUGUGGUACAGGCAAAUCCGUACCGCUCUACGUUGAGACGCGAGUCCGUGACCGUAAGGUCUGAAGCUGUUGAGCCUAUACUGCCUAGAAAAUCUUCUAAGUUUAGGAUGUGCAAACCGUACCGCAAACCAACUCAGGUGGGUGGGAUGAAUAAUCCAAGGCGCUCGAGAGAACUCUGGCCAAGGAACUCGGCAAAAUAACCCCGUACCUUCGGAAGAAGGGGUGCUCCUCCGGGUGAAGUUAAUUCACUUAACGAGCCUGAGGGAGCCGCAGAGAAAUGGUGGUGGCGACUGUUUACUAAAAACAUAGGUCUGUGCGAAGUCCUAAAGACGACGUAUACGGACUGACGCCUGCCCGGUGCCGGAAGGUUAAAAGGAGAGGUCAGCGCAAGCAAAGCUUCGAAUUGAAGCCCCGGUAAACGGCGGCCGUAACUAUAACGGUCCUAAGGUAGCGAAAUUCCUUGUCGGGUAAGUUCCGACCUGCACGAA
rnacentral:rRNA from 1 species